UACAUGCAAGUCGAGCGGACAGAUGGGAGCUUGCUCCCUGAAGUCAGCGGCGGACGGGUGAGUAACACGUGGGCAACCUGCCUGUAAGACUGGGAUAACUCCGGGAAACCGGGGCUAAUACCGGAUAAUUCUUUUCCUCUCAUGAGGAAAAGCUGAAAGAUGGUUUCGGCUAUCACUUACAGAUGGGCCCGCGGCGCAUUAGCUAGUUGGUGAGGUAACGGCUCACCAAGGCCACGAUGCGUAGCCGACCUGAGAGGGUGAUCGGCCACACUGGGACUGAGACACGGCCCAGACUCCUACGGGAGGCAGCAGUAGGGAAUCUUCCGCAAUGGACGAAAGUCUGACGGAGCAACGCCGCGUGAGUGAUGAAGGUUUUCGGAUCGUAAAACUCUGUUGUCAGGGAAGAACAAGUACCGGAGUAACUGCCGGUACCUUGACGGUACCUGACCAGAAAGCCACGGCUAACUACGUGCCAGCAGCCGCGGUAAUACGUAGGUGGCAAGCGUUGUCCGGAAUUAUUGGGCGUAAAGCGCGCGCAGGCGGUUCCUUAAGUCUGAUGUGAAAGCCCCCGGCUCAACCGGGGAGGGUCAUUGGAAACUGGGGAACUUGAGUGCAGAAGAGAAGAGUGGAAUUCCACGUGUAGCGGUGAAAUGCGUAGAGAUGUGGAGGAACACCAGUGGCGAAGGCGACUCUUUGGU
rnacentral:rRNA from 1 species